rnacentral:rRNA from 1 species
AGGUACGUGAAACUGCUUAGAGGUUAAGCCCGAUGAACCUGAAUAUCCAUUAUGGAAAAUUCAUCAUUAAUAAUAUAAUAUAAAAAAAUAUUAUAAAAAUAGUGUGCAAUUUUUCCAUAUAAGGACAUUGUAAUCUGUUAAUGUUAAUAAUUAUUUUAUCAUAAGAUCCAUUACAAUAAGUUUAUUUAAAUUAGUUAUUUUCGGAUUUCUAACAUAGAAUAAAUGUUUUGGAUUUGAUAAAUCAUUGACAGAUAUAAUUAUAUAAUGUGCUUAAAUUCAUUUAUUUGAAUUUUAUAAUAUUAAAUAGAUCUAUUGAUUUAUUUAUUUAAAUUAUAUGCACUAUUAUGAUUAACAAUGCGAUAGAUUCAGGAUACCUUCGGGACCCGUCUUGAAACACGGACCAAGGAGUCUAACAUAUGUGCAAGUCAUUAGGUAUUUUUAAUAAAACCCAAUGGCAUAAUUAACUUAACUUUAAAUAAUGGGAUUAAUUUAUGUUUUUUAAUAAAAUUAUAAAUACAAUCCCGGGGCGUUCUAUAUAGUUAUGUAUAAUAGUAUUUAUAUUAUUUAUGCCUCUAACUAGAGCGUACCUUGAGCAUAUAUGCUGUGACCC